CUUUUUUUUUAUCUCCCGAGCCGAUCCCUCUCCUCCUCCCCUCUCGCGACACCGGCUCUCCUUCUCUUCCCCUUUGCUCCUGCGAUGUCGAAGCCCUCUUCCCAGAGCCCGAUCGCCUUCCCCUCGCGCGACGCUUCUUCUCCUGCAGCUCGCUGAGGCACCACCUCUGCACAGGUUUGGUCUUCGGCCAGGAGCAAGGAUACAAGCCCUAGUUUUGAUUCGUCGAUCCUCCCUUCCCUGCGUGCUGCCACCGACCACUGUGGCCGAUGCCUGAUGGCCGCUAAGCACCAUCUGUGGGACAACUCGUCGACACCCUUUUUUUGAUCCAGCCGACUGUUGCCGAUCUACCAACGCUAGCAUUUUCAAGCACGAGUAAGGAGUAUCUGUGCUCUGUCCAGUUUGGUGAGGAGGAUCACUAUCGGAGCAGUGUUUCCUUGGUGGAAUCAAAGAGGAGAACACAAACACCUCAUAGCUACGGAUCUGUUUCGGGGUUAGUAAGUGAAGGGAGUGGGAGGGACAGCAGUAGCUCUCUAUUGUCAGCUGUGAAACACCCUCAACCAUCUCCGGAUUUGGGUAAGUGGUAGAAAUUGAUUUGUGUUAGCGCAAUCUAAUGUGUUUAUGAAAGGACUAGGGUUUUCCCUAACUCAUUUUGGGGAGUUUAUUUAUCUAUCUAAUUCAAAGGAUAUAUAUAUAUAUAUAUAUAUAUAUAUAUAUAUUGAUUGUAGGAUUUUGAUUCGAGACGACGUCUCGACGUAGGAUUUAUUUCAGAUACGAUCUCUAUUUUUAGGCAGGUACCUUGACUUAUUCCUUUUGAUAAUGUCAUUUUGAUAUGCGUAAUAGGUUAUAGCUACUAGUAAUGAUUAUGUUUAUCUUUACUUUGGUAUGUCAUUAUAUGAUGUCUGUUGCAUACUUUUAUCUGUUCUGCAUUUAUGUUUUAUACCCUCUCGAUUAUUGCCAGGUGCAUUUAUGUUCAUAGAGGUAGUGACAUACCAUGCUUUAUUGUGUACAUGACUAGUUAUUUGUCAUACCUAACAUGUGUACCUAGAUCAUUUUAUUUGAUCCAUUUACCUUUUGGUACAUACUUUAUGGAGGUGGAUAUGGUCAGGAUUUGCAUGCUUAGUGACAUGCACCAUCUUGCAUGAUUGCAUGCUGAGCGA